rnacentral:rRNA from 1 species
GACGAACGCUGGCGGUGUGCUUAACACAUGCAAGUCGAACGGAAAGGCCCUGCUUUUGUGGGGUGCUCGAGUGGCGAACGGGUGAGUAACACGUGAGUAACCUGCCCUUGACUUUGGGAUAACUUCAGGGAACUGGGGCUAAUACCGGAUAGGAGCUCCUGCUGCAUGGUGGGGGUUGGAAAGUUUCGGCGGUUGGGGAUGGACUCGCGGCUUAUCAGCUUGUUGGUGGGGUAGUGGCUUACCAAGGCUUUGACGGGUAGCCGGCCUGAGAGGGUGACCGGCCACAUUGGGACUGAGAUACGGCCCAGACUCCUACGGGAGGCAGCAGUGGGGAAUAUUGCACAAUGGGCGGAAGCCUGAUGCAGCAACGCCGCGUGCGGGAUGACGGCCUUCGGGUUGUAAACCGCUUUCGCCUGUGACGAAGCGUGAGUGACGGUAAUGGGUAAAGAAGCACCGGCUAACUACGUG